UACAGGCACUUGCUACUAAACCUAGCAAACGAUGCUUCUAGCUAGGGACUUAUGAAGAGAACAAAUUUCUCAUCUGAUUUCGAUAUGGGAAAUUGUGCGAGGACUUGUUUGGCUUUCAUGGGGAUAAAAUGGAGCAGACAACUAUCAGGCAUGUACUCAUGUUUAUCCAUGGUUUUUAAUUUGCUUCACUGAAUGGAAUGGCAGAGAUGAUUGGGUUCUGCUGGCAGCAUCCAAUCACACCCUAUAAGCUUUAAUUUGCUUCAUUUUUAUUUCCAUCUCACAUUAUUUUCAUAUGGCUUUAUUGUUUAGUUUCGAAAUGUGCUCGAUUAUAUGUUGAUGCAAGCAGGGAGGAAAUGAGAUGAUGAAAGAGCUUUAGCAUUAUUUGAAAGCCUUGGUACUAUAUAUUCAUACAGAUUUUUUGUGAGUUCAUUUUGCAGAAAUUAGAAAAAUAUGCUUUGGAUAGACCUAUUCAGCAAGUUAAGUUGAAAUGGAGUUAGUUCAAGCGUUUGCCUGCUCAUCCCAGCACCUAAUUAUAUUUCUACCCAAAAGAUUGAUGAAACUAAUCCGGUCAAAUCUCGGUCGGUUCUCAAAAGGAUAUGAUGUUCUAUGCAAAGAUCAGAGUUGAAGCUUAUCUCCUUCCAAUCUUUUGAGCUAUGAGAUUUGCGUUGUAUCAUUGUGACGGGAGGAGAUGAGGAAACAACGGGCGCAUUAUUUGUAAGCAUUGCUACUAUAUAUGUCAAAUUUCGCAGUUUUGAUCAUAUAUUGCGUUUAGGGGAAUGAAAUUAGGGUUGUGAAUUGAGAUUAUGCAUUUUUAUUUUCAUGCUAA